GCUUUCACACUUUACCCUUUAUUUAUGUGCGAUCAAUAAACGUUAUCAAAUGUUGUUGUUUACAUCUUCGAUCUAUCCCUCAAACGGGGUUGGGGCUGUAACUGUACCGGGGCUUUAACACUAUCUUAAUAAAACUCACUGUUCUUGUCCCCUACUGCUUACCGUACAGUGUUGUGUCAGUAGUUUUGUACUGACUCUUUUUAGUGUAAAGUGCAGAUGUAUUGAUUUAUAAACGCAUAUUAAUGAACAAUGUGGAUCUCGUUCCAUAUUCAGUCGCACUGCAUCAUGGGAAGUAUCGUACUGUGGUUUCUUAGACAAUAUUCGUCAACAUUCAGCUUUAGAUGUAAUAAAUGUAGUGUUAUUUUUGCAGCAUGUGUAGACUGUGGUGUUUUAGUGUUGCACGUUUGUGUAAUGAUUAAAGCUGGUUUCCUCUCCCUAAUGGUAAAGGGUGUGUGUGGUGGUGCAGUCACUAGCUGAUGGAGCUGCAAUUCAUACUUACCUGGCAGGGGAGAUACCAUGAUCAAGAAGGUGGUUCACCCAGGGCGAGGCUCAGCCAUUGCACUCCGGCUGUGCUGACCCCUGCGAAUUCCCCAAAUGUGGGAAUCUCGACUGCAUAAUUUGUGGUGUGACCUGGGUAUAGGUCAAGAUUCAAGAAUUACAGGCCUUCACAGAUAUCAGUGCAACAGGGGACAACUUUGCUUACCAGGAGACAACAGGAACUGAAGAGAAGUUACAAGUAUACAGGAAAGCCCCACACAUCAAUACCUGCUGUUUGAUUCUCUACACCCAUUGCAGUACCAAUUAGGUGUCAUCAGGAUACUACACCACAGGGCAGAAAGCAGCUCUCCCUCGACAGAAGCCAAGACGAAAGAAAAUCAACUGAAGGCAGCUCUCAAGGCAUGUGGAUACCCUUAGGAGGUUUUAAACAAGACCGCUACUAGCAGAAGGAUUGCAGCCAGAGACAAUUGAACAAACCUCUACAUGACUGGAGUAUCUAAGAAACUCAUGCACCCAAAAGAUCUGACCUUGUAAAAGCAUGAGGAGCAAUAUGAUAUUCUUGGUCCAGUUCAGUGAAGAGUGUUAAGAGCUCUGCAUUGGAGAGACAAAAGCCUCAACACUUUGUGGACUUUUCAGGACUGCCACAACACCCGCUAUCACAACCGGACCUGUACACAAUUGCACAUUUUAACAGUAUGACAU